rnacentral:rRNA from 1 species
GACGAACGCUGGCGGCGCGCUUAACACAUGCAAGUCGAACGGAAAGGCCUGCUUUCCCUUGUGGAUUGCGGGUACUCGAGUGGCGAACGGGUGAGUAACACGUGAGUGAUCUGCCCCCAACUUGGGUAUAAGCCUGGGAAACUGGGUCUAAUUCCCGAUAGGACUGCAGGGUGGUGCCUGUGGUGGAAAACGAUUUUCUAGUGGUUGGGGAUGAGCUCGCGGCCUAUCAGCUUGUUGGUGGGGUAAUGGCCUACCAAGGCGGCGACGGGUAGCCGGCCUGAGAGGGUAGACGGCGACAUUGAGACUGAGAAACGACCCAGACUCCUACGGGAGGCAGCAGUGGGGAAGAUUGGACAAUGGGCGGAAGCCUGAUGCAGCGACGCCGGGUGGGGGAUGACGGCCUUCGGGUGGUAAACUCCUUUCGACCGCGAGGAAGCCACCUGGUUGGAAGGGUGGUGACGGUAGUGGUAGAAGAAGCACCGGCUAACUACGUG